rnacentral:rRNA from 1 species
AGUCGUAACAAGGUCUCCGUAGGUGAACCUGCGGAGGGAUCAUUACACAAAUAUGAAGGCGGGCUGGAACCUCUCGGGGUUACAGCCUUGCUGAAUUAUUCACCCUUGUCUUUUGCGUACUUCUUGUUUCCUUGGUGGGUUCGCCCACCACUAGGACAAACAUAAACCUUUUGUAAUUGCAAUCAGCGUCAGUAACAAAUUAAUAAUUACAACUUUCAACAACGGAUCUCUUGGUUCUGGCAUCGAUGAAGAACGCAGCGAAAUGCGAUAAGUAGUGUGAAUUGCAGAAUUCAGUGAAUCAUCGAAUCUUUGAACGCACAUUGCGCCCUUUGGUAUUCCAAAGGGCAUGCCUGUUCGAGCGUCAUUUGUACCCUCAAGCUUUGCUUGGUGUUGGGCGUCUUGUCUCUAGCUUUGCUGGAGACUCGCCUUAAAGUAAUUGGCAGCCGGCCUACUGGUUUCGGAGCGCAGCACAAGUCGCACUCUCUAUCAGCAAAGGUCUAGCAUCCAUUAAGCCUUUUUUUUCAACUUUUGACCUCGGAUCAGGUAGGGAUACCCGCUGAACUUAAGCAUAUCAAUAAAAGUCG